rnacentral:lncRNA from 1 species
UAUAAACAAAUGUUACCUUACGCUCACCUCUUGAGGACUUGAAAAUUGAAAUAUUAUGGGGUUCCUUUAGAAUUAGCUCUAGGGCUAGAAGUUUUGCUUCAACAGAAAGUCUCAUAGUUGCAAGUUCAUCAAAAAUGUCAAAACAAUCUUUUUUGUUAUGGAACAUGCAUUGAGCUAGUGUAUUCAUGUUGAGCUAAAGGGCAAAUUUUCUUCUUCUUUUCAUAUCUAAAAACAAAUAGAUAAAGCAUCAAUUACUAACAAACCCUAAAACAUGGAAAAAAAACUAAAAAACCAUUUACAGAACCCUAACCUCUUUUCCCAAUUGUCAGAUAAAAGUACUAGUGCUAGAAUGCACGGUAAAUAAAAUGUAAAUAUCAAAUCAGAAUUUUCAAAUAUCGUAAAUAGAAACAAAAAUAGAAACAAGUAGGUAUUGAUAUUUUUUUUUACCCAACAAACAUGUAAUUACAACUUUAUUACUUUACGCAUUUCCCAAUAAUAAUUCCUUUGUACCUAAAACCUCUUUUGCCUUAAUCAUCUUUAAUUUUGAAUGUUAAAGUGUUAAGAAUCUUUAUCUUAAUUGUUCCCUAGUGAUAUAGCAAAUAAUAUAUAUGUGCUUAUCAUAAUCAUCACUCAAUAUAAGCCUAGAUACAAGCCGCAUGGCUUUUUUAUUUUUUAUUUUUUCAAUUGGUCAAGUUAUGACCACAAAUAGAACCAAAUCAAUAAACAAAAUAUAAGCCGCAUGACAUUUUUCUUUUUUCUUUUUUUAAUUGGUCAAGUUAUGACCAUAACAGAACCAAAUCAACAAACUAAUGUCAACCAUUACACUUUUUUAGAAUGACUAAUGCACGAUAUUUAUUUGGUAUCUAAGCAAAAUCUGAGCAAAAUGUACCUGAAAAUGAAGGAGAACCCAGAAAACUUAUGAAAAUCUUUGAUAGGAACUCGGGAGCAAGACCAAAUUUUCUCUAAAAUUAAUGUGGAUCUGGUUAAUAUUUGAAUGCUUAAUAAAGGUUUGCUAAAGUUAAGUGCUGAAAUUACCUAUAACAAAAGGAUUUGGUAAAAGUUGUCUGCGAAUUUGUUUUUAGAAGCCAAGAAGAAGAUGAUAUGGGUUGUGGGUUCUUUUACUUUUCUUUUAGUUU